CACCACCACCAUAUCUCCCUGCUGAGGAAGAGAAAAGCUUCAUGAGCCAAGAUGGCCCUGUUGAUUUCUGCUCCCCUCCUUGUUGGGACCCCACCACAUGCCUGGAAGUGUGUGGUAGUCUAGAACACUGUCCAAGAAAGUGAUCCUGUGUUCCUGACAGCUGAGAUGAAGUCCCACACUCAGCUGUCUCCCACUCACCAGAGAGACAUUCGACAAACAGCUGCUUUCUUGUGUUUACUUCUGACCUUUUGCAGAGAGAUCUAUCAGCGGGAACUCACAAGCCUGAUGCAGGCAGCUCUGUGCACUGGGGACGCAUUCAACAGAUGCAGGAUCAGUGUUUUUCUUUUGGAAUCAUGACCAGAGGUGCUAAGAUAUAAAUGUAAAAGAU